GCUGGCAUAGCUCAGUUGGUAGAGCAACUGAUUUGUAAUCAGUAGGUCGCGGGUUCGACUCCUGCUGCCAGCACCA
rnacentral:tRNA from 1 species